AGCAACACUUAAUCUUACAGACCAACAAAAAUAAAAUUACAAGCAAAUUUCAGAAACACACACUUGAUUUUACAUUCACACUGAAUGUUCUAUAUACAUGGUGUCAUGACAUCGGGUCUGACAUCCUGGAAAAUUCCUGCAUAAUUCCAUAAUUCCUUUUAUAACUUCCAGCAAGUACAAUCAUAUCAGAUGCCAUAACUUUGUGUAUGACUUCUUGAAACACUUUUGCAUGAACAUGUUCUUGAACUCCAG
rnacentral:lncRNA from 1 species